rnacentral:lncRNA from 1 species
AUUGAUGUUUCAUUGAUCAUGAGAAGUUUAGACCACAACGAGUUAGACCAUGUCUACGCAGCGUGCCAUCAUGGCUUAAUCAUUGGGCCCAUCACUACCAUUGAAGAUACCAAGAGUUCAUGACCAUAUCAAGCCUUCUAGUUAUAGGAUUCAGAACCCAGGUAUUACUGCAGGUGUGCCAUUCCCCAAGAACUGUAUGCUCAGAAGCUAGACAGCAUCAUUCAAUUCACUGAUUAGAGUAUAGAAUCAGAACUACUGGAGCAACUAACAACCGAUUAGAGAACUUAGUCACUCAUGUAAUGGUGCAAUUUAUUGAUCCCGCUUGGGUUAAGCAUGGG